rnacentral:tRNA from 1 species
GCGGCCGUGGUCUAGUCUGGAUUAGGAUGGCGGCCUGCCACGCCGCAGGACCCGGGUUCGAAUCCCGGCGGCCGCACCA